GUUUUGUUUAAUUCAACCUCAUAUUUUUAUUCUUUAAUUAAUUUACUUUUACUUGAACCAUCAUAAUUUACUUAUUAUUUUAUUAACUUAAUUUUUAUUUUUUUAGUACCGCAAGGAAAUAUUUCUUAAUUUUCUAAAAGUCUAGAUUUAUUUUUAGUACCUUUUGCAUAAUGGCUUAGCAAUAUUUAUGAUAAUUUCUCUAUCCCGAAAAUUUAGUGAGCUGAUUUCAAUUUGCAAUGCUUUAUCAGUGCCCACUGCCUUCUGUUGCAAAACUUCCAGAAAAAUUCAAAUCAGAGGCUACAUACCACCCGCACAAAUUAAUAGCUGGUUUCCCGAUAAAUCUAUUUAAGUAGAUUAUUUACAUACUCUAUCUAUGUGACUUUUUAAAUAAUAGAGGAUAAGCUCUAUUCUCCAAAUUCAAUUUUAUUUUACAUCAUCUUUAUUUAAGUAGGCUUAAAAUUAGCCACCUUUAAAAACUUGUUAUAAAUUAUUUAUUAAUCUCUUAACUUAUUAUAUUUCCUCUUAUGUACACUGUAUCGAGAAAAUUUUUUAAAUAAUAUUCUCUAAAUUUUUAUUCUGCUAAGAUUAGUAUUUUUAAUUUAUUUAUUACUAUUUAAAUUUUAAACUAUUACUUUAAAGGAACUCGGCAAAUCCGUGGCCUCGACUGUUUAACAAAAACAUUGCCUUUUGUCUAAAUAUAUAAAAGGUUCAUCCUGCCCAGUGACAAAUUUUUUGUUCAACGGCCGCGGUACCCUGACCGUGCAAAGGUAGCAUAAUCAUUCGCCUUUUAAUUGAAGGCUAGUAUGAAUGGAUAAACGAAGGCCCAUCUGUCUCUAAAGUAAUAAUCAUAAAUUAUCCUUCAGGUGAAGAGACCUGAAUAUAAAAAAAGGACAAGAAGACCCUGUUGAGCUUUAUUUUUAUUUAUUAAUUUACAACAGCUUUUAAGUACACACUAUUAAUAUACAAAAUUCAGUUGGGGCGACUAGGGAACAUUUAAAACUUCCCUUUAAUUCUAAGAUUACCAAAUCUUUAUUCUGAUCCAAACAACUUGAUCAAAGAAUCGAGCUACCACAGGGAUAACAGGCUAAUCCUCCUUAAGAGCCCAUAUUGACAGGAGGGAUUGGCACCUCGAUGUUGGCUUAGGGCCCCCAAUAAGCGCAGCAGCUUUUAAUGGUAGGUUUGUUCAACCUUUAAAGCCCUACAUGAGCUGAGUUCAGACCGGCGUAAGCCAGGUUAGUUUCUAUCCUUUUUCAUUUAAAGACUCUCUCAUUAGUACGAAAGGACCAUGUUACAGAUAAAUUAUUUAAACUCAAUUUGUACUCAAAUAAUU
rnacentral:rRNA from 1 species